rnacentral:lncRNA from 1 species
GUAAUUUCAAUUUAUUUACAAUAUUUUUCUCUAAGUUAACAUGAGUUCUAUGGUGAUUAUAAUGUACGGAUAGGAAAUUCAUGUGCUGGAGUAAAAAAAAAAAAUCAAACUCUGGAACAACCGAACAAGCCUUGCCCAAGGCUUGUGUCAGGCACAUAAGACAAGACCGUGUGCUCGGGAGGCAUGGCCAUGUGGCAUGCCUCCUCCAUAUGACACAACCAUGUGUUACCACCAAAGCAUUUCUGUGAGGGAAACACGACCAUGUGUUUGCCCAACACAGUCGUGUGUCAAUCUAUACAUAAGCGUCACCUAAGGUUUAUGUCAGACUCUUAAGAAACGACCGUGUGUUACCACAAAAGCAUUUUUGUAAGGGACACACGGCUGUGUGCUUGCCAAACACGGUCGUGUCAUGUCUAUAACAAGGAAAUUAACGGAAUCCCAAGAAAAAUACAGUUGUAUAGAUGCCCAACAUGAUCAUAUGUCAUUCCCCAUAUAAGCCUUGGCCCAAGACUUAUAUCAUCUGGCAACACAUUUGUUGGUUCUUAAAAAGUGAUGUUUCCCAAUGUAUCCCACCUCUAAG